rnacentral:pre_miRNA from 1 species
CAUAGGGGUGAGAAAAGGACUUUGGCGUUAAUUAAUACCGUCAGUCUUUUUCUCUCUCCUAUA